AUUUUCCAGUUUUCGGACAAUUAUAACUCAAUAACGCUUUCAUCAAUUCUCAUACAACUUUGAUAAAUUGUUUAUAUCUGUUGAUGUAAAUACCCUUUUGAUUUUCAUAAAUUUCUAAUAUGACAUUGAGAAGUAAUCAAUCUCUCUGAAUUUGUACCACACAAGUCCAUAUCACAAAUGAAAGGCUGAAAUUGAUUUAAGGGGUACAUGUACUUGCUCAAAACGUUCAGGAAUUAAUAGGGGCCUCAAACAAGCAUUUUACUAAAUUUACUUUUUUAGAAUAACUUGUGUUUAAGUGUAUGGAUCUAUCUAAAAUUGUAUUACAGAGGGGAG
rnacentral:lncRNA from 1 species